rnacentral:rRNA from 1 species
AGAGUUUGAUCAUGGCUCAGAUUGAACGCUGGCGGCGUGCCUAACACAUGCAAGUCGAGCGGUAACAGGUGUAGCAAUACAUGCUGACGAGCGGCGAACGGGUGAGUAAUGCUUUGGAAUCUUCCCAGUAGUGGGGAAUAACCGGUCGAAAGAUUGGCUAAUACCGCAUACGUCUGUAAAGGGAAAGCGGGGGCUCGUAAGACCUCGCGCUAUUGGAUGAGCCAAAGUCGGAUUAGCUAGUUGGUGGGGUAAUGGCCUACCAAGGCGACAAUCCGUAGCUGGUCUGAGAGGACGACCAGCCACACCGGAACUGAGACACGGUCCGGACUCCUACGGGAGGCAGCAGUGGGGAAUAUUGGACAAUGGGGGAAACCCUGAUCCAGCGACGCCGCGUGUGUGAAGAAGGCCUGCGGGUUGUAAAGCACUUUUAGUGGGGACAAAAAGCUACGGAUUAAUACUCUGUGGUCUUGAUUUAACCCAAAGAAAAAGCACCGGCUAACUCUGUGCCAGCAGCCGCGGUAAUACAGAGGGUGCGAGCGUUAAUCGGAAUUACUGGGCGUAAAGCGCGCGUAGACGGUUUUGUAAGUCAGAUGUGAAAUCCCUGGGCUCAACCUGGGAACUGCAUUUGAUACUGCAUGGCUAGAGUAUCGAAGAGGGAAGUGGAAUUUCCGGUGUAGCGGUGAAAUGCGUAGAUAUCGGAAGGAACACCAGUGGCGAAAGCGACUUCCUGGUCGAAUACUGACGUUCAUGUGCGAAAGCGUGGGGAGCAAACAGGAUUAGAUACCCCGGUAGUCC